UACGAAGGGGGCGAGCGUUGUUCGGAAUUACUGGGCGUAAAGGGCGCGCAGGCGGCUCUGAAAGUCAGAUGUGAAAGCCCCGGGCUUAACCUGGGAAUUGCAUUUGAUACUCUGGAGCUUGAGUACGGGAGAGGAGAGUGGAAUUCCCAGUGUAGAGGUGAAAUUCGUAGAUAUUGGGAGGAACACCGAUGGCGAAGGCAGCCCCCUGGGCUGACACUGACGCUCAGGCACGAAAGCGUGGGGAGCAAACAGG
rnacentral:rRNA from 1 species